CGCCACCGUCAUCUCCCGCUGCGAAGGUACCCCCCUGAUCGCCAUGUCCGGCCGCGUUCGCAAGCUCAGGACGCAGAGACGGGAUGCUAUGCUAGCUAAGGUGAUGGAUGGUGUAAGGGCCUCUCGCGGCUGCGCCUCCUUUUAUAGUCGAUCCGAUCUGCGCAGCAUCUCGUGGCUUUAUUCGUCUUCAUCUGCAGGCUGCGAGGGGGCGCUGAUCUGAAUCUUAUCUUCUUCUUGGUGGAGGGCGAGCUGAAUUUUCAGGCAUCUACACGCUAGUCAGCAAGUGCGUGUCACAUUCUCUGACGAAUAAGGUUAUGUGUAUCACGUUGCGAUUUCUUUCUCGAGAGACUUAUCGCAUUGUUCGAUUCUUAGUCUUUGCCUGACAUUUCCUAAUAAAUCAUGCAUCGCCUGCAUUUUUUCUGAUGUUUGGUGUAGCCGCGUAGGUGUGUGGUUAUUUUCGUACCACUACUACUACUGCCAGAUUAUAUUCCGAUGCUUGCUUGCAGCAACGAGGCGUGGGGAUAAAUUCCUAGUGGGGGAAGUGGUAGGGCCUGGAUGAAGGAGAUUCUCCGUUGAAAGACCAAUCCAAAAGGGGAACAAAAAGGGACGAGAUUCUACCGUAGUUGCCCAAGAAUGCUGAAAGUUCUUCCCUCAAGAAUGCCAACCUGCCAAACCGCUUAUUUGAUUUGGUUCUGCCAUGGUUUUGUUACCAACUUCAUUUCUCAGAGAAAAUAUGCAGGGUUAACCAUGCCUGCAUCCAUUCAUUCAGAGCUAACAGUUGGGCUAAGAUGUUGAAGGUGAUAGAUUCUGUGGAUCGGUUAGGCUAGGAUUCCGGCAACAGUGGUGGUAGGUAUUACCUUCUUCUUGUGGCUCGAGGAGCUCCCGAUGCCGGCCAUGGUGACGGUGGCCGGUAAUGGCAGAGUAGCGGUGGCGGUGCUUCCCGUCAGCACUGCACUAACUCUAGAUCGGUAGGGGAUGUAGGUGGGGUGUACGGCG
rnacentral:lncRNA from 1 species